AGAGUUUGAUCCUGGCUCAGGACGAACGCUGGCGGCGUGCCUAACACAUGCAAGUCAGGGAGAAAAAGGUAGCAAUAUCUUGAGUAAACCGGCGAACGGGUGAGUAACACGUAGGUAAUCUACCUUGUAAACGGGAAUAACCCCGGGAAACCGGGGCUAAUGCUCGAUGUUGUUUCGGAGUAGCAUUAUUCUGAAAUGAAAGGCCCCAAAAGGGCGUUACAAGAUGAACCUGCGCCCCAUUAGAUAGUUGGCGGGGUAAUGGCCCACCAAGUCGACGAUGGGUAGCUGGUCUGAGAGGACGAUCAGCCACACUGGAACUGAGACACGGUCCAGACUUCUACGGAAGGCAGCAGUGAGGAGUAUUGCUCAAUGGGCGAAAGCCUGAAGCAGCGACGCCGCGUGAGGGAUGAAAUCCGUUAGGAUGUAAACCUCUUUUGCAGGGGAAGAAUGUUCCGACUACGGUCGGAAUUGACGGUACCUUGUGAAUAAGCACCGGCAAACUACGUGCCAGCAGCCGCGGUAAUACGUAGGGUGCGAGCGUUGUCCGGAAUUACUGGGUGUAAAGGGUCCGCAGGCGGACAGAUAAGUCGAUGGUGAAAUUUCCUGGCUCAACCAGGAACCUGCUGUCGAUACUAUUUGUCUUGAGUCCGAGAGAGGAUAGUGGAAUUCAUGGUGUAGCGGUGAAAUGCGUAGAGAUCAUGAAGAACACCGGUAGCGAAGGCGGCUAUCUGGCUCGGUACUGACGCUCAGGGACGAAAGCGUUGGUAGCAAACAGGAUUAGAUACCCUGGUAGUCCACGCCUUAAAUGAUGGAUGUUCGGUGUUGGGUCGAAAGACUCGGUGCCUGAGCUAACGCGUUAAACAUCCCACCUGGGGAGUACGAUCGCAAGGUUGAAACUCAAAGGAAUUGACGGGGGCCCGCACAAGCAGUGGAGCAUGUGGUUCAAUUCGAUUCAACACGAAGAACCUUACCUGGGUUUGAAAGGCAAGUGACAGGCGAUGAAAGUCGCUCUGGUAGCAAUACCCACUUGUACAGGUGCUGCAUGGCUGUCGUCAGCUCGUGCCGUGAGGUGUUAGGUUAAGUCCUGCAACGAGCGCAACCCCUGCACUUAGUUGCCAUCAGGUAAUGCUGGGCACUCUAAGUGGACUGCCUACGCAAGUAGUGAGGAAGGUGGGGAUGACGUCAAGUCCUCAUGGCCCUUACACCCAGGGCCACACACGUGCUACAAUGGUCGAUACAAAGGGCUGCUAAGGCGCAAGCCGGAGCCAAUCCCAUAAAAUCGACCUCAGUUCGGAUUGGGGUCUGCAACUCGACCCCAUGAAGCUGGAAUUGCUAGUAAUCGUGGAUCAGCACGCCACGGUGAAUACGUUCCCGGGCCCUGUACACACCGCCCGUCAAGCCAUGGAAACUGGGGGUACCCGAAGUCACUGUUCGAACCCGCAAGGGACGAAGGUGCCUAAGGUAAAACCAGCGACUGGGGCUAAGUCGUAACAAGGUA
rnacentral:rRNA from 1 species